rnacentral:rRNA from 1 species
AUUGAACGCUGGCGGCAGGCCGAACACAUGCAAGUCGAACGAGUGGCGGACGGGUGAGUAAUGUCGGGGAAACUGCCUGAUGGAGGGGGAUAACUACUGGAAACGGUAGCUAAUACCGCAUACCAUCAGAUGAGACCAGAUGGGAUUAGCUUGUUGGGGUGGUAACGGCUCACCAAGGCGACGACCCCUAGCAGGGCUGAGAGGAUGACCAGCCCCCCUUGAACUGAGCCCCGCUCCCGACUCCUCCGGUAGUCAGCAGUGGUGAAUAUUGCACAAUGUGCGCAAGCCUGAUGCAGCCAUGCCGCGUGUAUGAAGGAGGCCGUCGGGUUGUAAAGUACUUUCAGCGGGGAGGCGUUACCCGCAGAAGAAGCACCGGCUAACUCCGUGCCAGCAGCCGCGGUAAUUC